CGCCGAAAACCCCUUUNACCAAUGCCCCGCNAAAGUUGUGAUAAGGGGGAUCCUCCNGUGCUCAUGNUUCUGCCAUGGGCUUUUUGCCCAAAGAGUAAAAUAGCCCUGGCGAAUAAAGGGGUGGGGCAAAGACCCGGUGCCCAGCCGCCCGCGGUAAACACCGGCGCCCCGAGUGGCAAUCGCGUUUAUUGGGCCUAAAGCGUCCGUAGCCCGGAUUGGUAAAUCCUCUGUGAAAUUGUUGGGCUCAACCCGACGGCGUGCAGUGGAGACUGCCAGUCUUGAGACCGGGAGGAGCAAGAGGUAUUCCAUGGGGACUGGUAAAAUGGUAUAAUCCCCGGUAGACCACCUAUGGCGAAGGCAUCUUGCCAGAACGGAUCUGACGGUGAGGGACGAAAGCCAGGGGAGCGAAACCGGAUUAGAUACCCGAGUAGUCCUAGCCGUAAACNCUNUNANUCUUUCUANUGGGUUUCCCACANCAAUUUACAUUUUCNAAACCAA
rnacentral:rRNA from 1 species